rnacentral:lncRNA from 1 species
UGUCAGUGUGCCCCUGCUGGGGAGUGCCUCCCAGUUAGGCUGCUCGGGGGUCAGGGGUCAGGGACCCACUUGAGGAGGCAGUCUGCCCGUUCUCAGAUCUCCAGCUGUGUGCUGGGAGAUCUCUCUUCAAAGCUUUCAGACAGGGACAUUUAAGUCUGCAGAGGUUACUGCUGUCUUUUUGUGUGUGCCCUGCCCCCAGAGGUGGAGCCUACAGAGGCAGGCAGGCCUCCUUGAGCUGUGGUGGGCUCCACCCAGUUUGAGCUUCCAGGCUGCUUUGUUUACCUAAUGAAGCCUGGGCAAUGGCGGGCGCCCCUCCCCCAGCCUCGCUGCCGCCUUGCAGUUUGAUCUCAGACUGCUGUGCUAGCAAUCAGCGAGACUCCGUGGGCGUAGGACCCUCCGAGCCAGGUGCGGGAUAUAGUCUCGUGGGGCGCUGUUUUUUAAGCCGGUUGGAAAAGCACAGUAUUCGGGUGGGAGUGACCCGAUUUUCCAGAUGCGUCCGUCACCCCUUUCUUUGACUCGGAAAGGGAACUCCCUGACCCCUUGCGCUUCCCAAGUGAGGCAAUGCCUCGCCCUGCUUCGGCUCGCGCACGGUGCGUGUACCCACUGACCUGUGCCCACUGUCUGGCACUCCCUAGUGAGAUGAACCCGGUACCUCAGAUGGAAAUGCAGAAAUCACCCUUCUUCUGCGUCGUUCACGCUGGGAGCUGUAGACCGGAGCUGUUCCAAUUCGGCCAUCUUGGCUCCUCCCCUGGACUCUUUAUUUCUUAAGCAAUCAGAAGAACAGAUGGCCAUCUUCUGUCAGUACUUGAAGACUGUUUCUAAGAAACAUUAAGCCUCCAUCAGGCUCACUUGUUAAUGCAAAAGUCCCACUCAGGACAGAAGCUGGGACAAUCUUUGAAGUUGUCAGGUAUUGAGUUUGAGCAAAUGGAAUGGAAUGUGCUGGAACUGGUCCUUGCAGCAUCCUCCUGACACCUUGGGUCUAUUUGCAUAGUGCAGGUGGCUGAGAUGUCACUAGGCUCUUGAGAGACUUCAGGAACAAGUUGAGGGUUCUGCCUGUCAUCUGAGUUUAUGUACCAUGUACAAGACAACCUCACACUGUUUCUAACAUGAAAUGUUAAAAAUUGUUAUAUCUUUUUCAAAAGGGAGAACCCUUUCUGAUUAGUAAGAAGAAUCGGCCAGGCGCAGUGGCUCACACCUGUAAUCCCAGCACUUUGGGAGGCCGAGGUGGGUGGAUCACUUGAGGUCAGGAGUCCAAGACCAGCCUGGCUAACAUGAUGAAACCCCGUCUCUACUAAAAAUACAAAAAUUAACCGGGAGUGGUGGCAGGUGCCUGUAAUCCCAGCCACUAGGGAAGAUGAGGCACACGAAUCUCUUGAAUCCCGGAGUUGGAGAUUGUAGUGAGCCAAGAUCGCGCCACUGCAGUCCAGCCUGGGUCACAGAGUGAGACUCUCUCAAAAAAUAAAAAUAAAUUUAAAAAAAUAAAAAGAAUCUUAAUUUUUAAAGUUAGUUGAAAAUGUGAAUCCUUUUUAGGUUAAAAUGGGCCUUGCUCUUUUGUUUACUCAGGGCAAAGUGGAAAGGAGGAGACAAUCACUGGUAGGUCUCUGGUAUGCGUGUUCUAGAGUGGGUACAAAUGACCAUUUGAUGAGUUGUUUCUAGGAACUUUAUACAUACCAUGAGAACUGAUGAAAAAUCUCAUUAAUUCCUUAGGAACAUUACCUCCCUUAAUGAAAGGAAAACAGCCUAUUGGCUCUCUAAUAGUAAUCAAGUGAAGUGUGGAUAAUUCUAGACUUUUAUUUUUAAUCACCACUUAUAGGAAGCUGUACUUUUUACCACUAGGGUGUAACCAGAAACUAUUACAAGCAAUUUAAUUGCAAUGUGGAUCCCCCUUUUCUGUAAAGAUUUCAUUCUAACUUGGGAUUACCUUCUUGAUCAAGGAGGCUUUAUCAGAUAAUCCUGACAUCUCAGUUACAGAGCAAGCAAAACUUUGCCUCCAUGCUCUUAGGUCCUCUGGUUGGGCCUGAGAAUUAAAUUGGCAUAAAAUAUAUUAACAGGAGAAAAAUACACAGACUUUUUACAUGUACAUGGGAGCUGCCAUAGGAAAAUAAAGACCCUAAGAAGUGGUAAAAACCCAAAUGCUUAUAUAGCAGAUUGAAUAAAGAGUGACAAUUGUGGAAAAGUAACUAAAAUGUGUGGGGAGGCUCAAGGAAGAUAAGAGUUAUUUUAACAAGGUCUGUUUGUACAGGUUUUUUUUUAGUCUCAACUCCUCAUCUCCGGUGACAAGAAUGUUUCUUCUCUUCUGGUACAGGGAGCGCAUCUUUCACAUGGGAGUUUUUGUCUCCUGUUUGCAGGAAGAAAAGAGGAGAUUGGAAUGCCCUUCUUGCAUUUGCUGUUUUUCAAGGGCCUUUAGCUCAAAAUAAUCUUUACACCAAACUAGCAUAUUUUGGGGUGACAUAUUCUGCCACCCUUCACAGUCUGUGAUGGUUAAUUUUAUGUGUCAGCUUCUCUAGGGUAAGGGAAGUCCAUAUAACUGGUAAAACAUUAUUUCUGGGUGUGUCUUUGAGGAUGUUGCUGGAAAAGAUUAGCAUUUGAGUCAGUGGACUAAGUAAGAAAAUCACUAACAUGGGCAGGCAUCGUCCUAUCCAUUGAGGGUCAGAAUAGAACAAAAAGGCAGAGAAAGAAUGAAUUCUCUUUUUUUGAGCUGGGGCAUCUAUCUUCUCCUGACUUCAGGUAUCAGAGUUUCUGGUUCUCAGGUCUUUGGACUUGGCCUGAAUUUCACUGCCUGCUUUCCUGUUUCUCCAGUUUGCAGAAGGCAGAUCAUGAGACUGCUAACCCUCUAUUAGCACAUUAGUCCAUUCCCAUAAUUGAUGGGGGGUGUGUGUGUGUGUGUGUGUGUGUGUGUGUGUGUGUGUGUGUUGGGAGCUAUCUCCUCUUUUGUUUUUUUUUUUCUCUGAAGAACACUAACAUACAGCUUCUUAUACAAAUAAACUGAUGUUUAAAAACUUCUAUGUUCAUUUAAAUGAUUUUAAAUUAUGUAUUAAACCUCUAUGUUCAAUAAAUAAACUACCACGCUUAAAUUUUUAC